UCCUUGGGGCUCGAUCUCAUGACCCUGAGAUCAUGACCAAAGCUGAAAUCAAGAGUUGGACACAACCGACUGAGCCACCCAGGAGCACCCCCUUUUUUUUUCAUUGGUGCAGACCACAAGUUCUGGAAUUCUGUGGCCUCUCCGGAAACCUGACUCUGGAAUUCAGAGCCUCCUGAGAUUUGUUCCCUGUUCUCCCUUGCAGCAACCAACUUCCUGGUUGGUUUGGAUUGUCAUGGAAAGGAGGCAGCUUGAUGGAACAGAAAGAGCUCUGGAUUAAUCCCUUGGGGGAACUCUGAAAGCGAUUGGCUGUGUGAGUUUAGGCAAAUGGAUUUACCUCUCUGAUCUUCAGUCUCUUCAUUGGCAAGAUGAUUUCUACUUCAUAAGAUAGAACAUUUCCCUGGAUGAGGAUUCAGUAGAACACAGUUUCAGAAACUUGGUGGAGGUUCUACUCAGCUGAGGACAUUUUAGCUUUUUGCCAUGUGGUCCCUGAAAGUCAACCAAAGUGAUUUUGGUCUCUGAAAACAGCCAAAGGGGAAACUGAGCUGAUGUGACUUCCCUCGCAAGAAAAGUCCUUAGGACUUGGAUUUGGCAGGCCACCACUGGACACUGCCCCUUUGGGGUCCCGAGCAAUGAUUGGAGCAGCCCCUCAUCUGACAGAAGGGGAAACUGAGCCCAGAGAGAGAAAUCAGCUUCUCUUAGAUCAUCCAGCCAAGAGCCCAAUCCCUGCAAUCCCACACCCAGCACCAAGAGGUUAAACCUUACUGACUGCCGUGGCCCUUUUCAUACUUUACCUUGUUUAAUGUUUAAGAAUGAUACGUGCACAGUAACUAUCUGUAAAGGUAGGAUUGGAAGAUAAAAUUCAGGAUAGUCAUUUGAGUUUGAACUUCAGACAACAAAUAACACACCAAAUAACUCAAUCCAUAUAUUGAUUUGUUAAAUUUUACAAUCUUGCCUGAGUCCAGAGCCCUCGGGGAGCUUUUAGCCAAAAUGCAGUGGAAAGCAUGGAAAGGUUGAACAUUAGGGUCACAUUCUAAUCUUACCACUUACAGACAUUGGGACCUCGGACAAGUUACUUGACCUCUCUGAGCCACAAAGAGUUGUGGUAAGAAUUAACCAAAGAAAACAUACGGGAAAACUCCUAGUACACUGCUUGGCAAGUAAUUGGCAUUCAAAAAUGGCAAUUCUUAUUGUUCUCUUUUACUCAGAAUAACAUUUUUUUCUUGGGCCCUUGUCCUAGUCAAAAAAAAAAAAAAAAAAAAAAAAAAAA